GGGUUAGUAGGCUGGUCAUGCCACCGGUAUGUACUGGUCUUACUGAUUCCUCCUUCCUGAUGAACUGUAAUGCCAUUAAUUUGGUGUUGCAGGGAAUCUGGACUGUUACUUUGAAAAAAUUAGAGUGUUUAAAGCAGGCUAACGCUUGAAUACAUUAGCAUGGAAUAAUAAAAUAGGACGGCAUGAUUCUAUUUUGUUGGUUUCUAGGAUCACCGUA
rnacentral:rRNA from 1 species